rnacentral:rRNA from 1 species
UACGAAGGGGGCUAGCGUUGUUCGGAAUUACUGGGCGUAAAGGGCGCGUAGGCUGUGCUGUAAGUCAGGCGUGAAAUCCCCGGGCUCAACCUGGGAAUUGCGUUUGAUACUGCGGCGCUGGAAUGCAGGAGAGGAUGGCGGAAUUCCCAGUGUAGAGGUGAAAUUCGUAGAUAUUGGGAAGAACACCGGUGGCGAAGGCGGCCAUCUGGCCUGUAAUUGA